CGGGACAUUGUCACCCCACCCCACCCCCACUUUCCUCAGUGACGUGGUUCAUCGGGGGGGAGACCAGGAGACCACACAACCAUCUGCUUUGCUAUUGUGGGAAAUGCAUAUCACAACCCUAAUUAUCCUUGCACCCUGAUCUCAGAUUUUCAUGCCCAGAACUGUGAGAAAUUAGUUCCUGUUGUACAAGGCAUCCAGUUUACGGUGUUUUCUUAUAGUAGCCCAAGUCAAGACAAAAUCUAAAGAAAUUGUGGACUUUGCUAAAUAAUAAUGUACCAACAUGGGUUCAUUAAAUUAUAGUAGAUGUACCAUACUACUGUAAGACGUCAAUAAGAUGGGAAGCUGUGUGCAGCUGUAUAUUGGAACUCUGUAUGAUUGUCCCAAGUUUUUUCUAAAUGUAAAACUGUUACACAAAUUAAGGCCAUUAAAAAAAAGUCAACAUCUUGUCCUCA